UGGCGGCUGCGGACCUCUGAGCUCCGGGUCUGGGGUCUAGGUGCGGCCUCGAGUGCAGCGGCCAUAUGUACCAGGACCGAGAGCCAGCCCCGGACCCGGGCCCAGCUCCGCGGCAGGGACAAGGCCGCUGGGACAACCCUGAGCAGUGCCCUGGUGUCAGGCUGAGAGCUGAGCCCCAGGCCUCUGGGCACCAAGAUCCUGUGUAGCUGCCUGGCCCUUCAGGUGAGCUGGGCCCACCCUGCACCCAGCCCUGCCAGUCCUUCCCUGGACUCCCAGUCAGUAUGCAAGUGAGGGAGGGAGGAAAUCCACUGCUUUCCAGAGGCGGAGCAAUCCUGGAAGCUUACAUUUCAAAGAUUUAACUUCUGGUAAGUGUGCAUAUUAAUUUGCCCAAAGAUGUAGUCAGGAUAGGGAAUGUUCC
rnacentral:lncRNA from 1 species